UUUUGUCCACCCCCAUUUGAUUAUAUGUGUUUUCCUCUCCAAUGUCCAUCCCUAUAAACUAAUCCGUGGCAAUGGAGGUGGUUCUAGGUUGCAAAGAUUUUGAAGAUUCUAAGGCUGCAAGGACAUCAACACGCCCUGGGGCGGAUCUAUGAAGGAGGGAGGGGUAGCCCGGACUACCCCUCAACCAUCGGCGACUAAGCAGUCAGCGAGUGAACGGGUUAACGGGUCCGCGAGUUAACGAGUUUGCGAGUUAACGGGAUGAGCUACAUAGAUCAGAAGGUUCCGGAGACGUUAUAUGUGAAAAUAUGUUGGAAAAGGAGUAGAUGAAUACUCGACUGCGGAUAUGGAUGGCAUUCGCGAAGAUUGGUCGACUUAU
rnacentral:lncRNA from 1 species